GCCUGACUGGCUCAGCUGAUAGAGCAUGUGACUCUUAAUCUCAGGGUCAUGAGUUUAAUCCCCAUGUUGGGAA
rnacentral:tRNA from 1 species